rnacentral:lncRNA from 1 species
GGCUUCAUCGAGGGUUACCGCGUUGGUGGCGGCCCCCUCGGCGAGGGCCUCGACAUCAUCUACCCAGGCGGCGCCUUCGACCCACUUGGCCUCGCCGACGACCCCGACACCGCAGCUGAGCUCAAGGUCAAGGAGCUCAAGAACGGCCGCCUCGCCAUGUUCUCCAUGUUCGGCUUCUUCGUGCAGGCCAUCGUCACCGGAAAGGGGCCCGUAGAGAACCUCUUCGACCACGUCGCCGACCCGGUCAACAACAACGCGUGGGCCUUCGCCACCAACUUCGCCCCCGGAAGCUAAAUGUGUUAAGCCAUCUGUCCGUCCAUCGGACGAGAUAUGCAUGUGUACUUGUACGUCGUGGAUCAACGUGUAGCUGCACGUACUUUGUGUGUUUAUUUGUACCAUGAUCGAGCGAGCGAGAUGACCUCUCGCUGGCUGCGCGCAAUGUAAAUUAAUUAAGCACGAGAUGCACGAGCAAAUGGAUGGAAGAAUCGUGUAUCAUUAGUACAUUACUCGAGAUCAUCAACUGGCAUGGCGUAUAUGGUACUUCAAGCUCAUGAAACGGGACAUUCGCAACGGCAUACGGAGAUCCAACGGGCCAACUAUACAACUCUGUCUUUGUGGCUAUUCUUGGUUCAG